CCUUGUCUGGAUACUGGAUAUGCCAGCCUCACUGCCCUGUGGGCCUCUGGUCCCGGGUGCUGAGGGUGGUACAUGCAUAAGCAUGGCAUGGCUGUGCAUUAGAGAGGAGGAUUCUCAGGGGAAGAUUCCCAGGCAGACCCAGGUUUCUCCUAGAGGUGGGGGUGAGAGCUAUCUUUUUGUGUGCUUUGGGGUUGGGGGUUGGGGUGGUUGCCAUGGCAACACAGCAUAAGAACACCCACCUCCCCAACAUUCAGCCCCAGAGGACUCAGGGGUUGGGGGGUGGAUAAUGGAUUGACACCCCCCGAUGCCCCCGCCACCUGGCACUGCCAGCCGGAGAUGGCAGCGUCAAAUAGGAGAGAAUGGUCCCUUUGUUUCUAGGCUCACGGUGUUGGGGGAGCAAGCAUGGGCACACAGAAGGGCCUUUCCCAGGCCCCGUUCCAGUUUGCAUGCCUCCCGCUGGCCUCCAGAGACUCCUGGGGCCAUCCACUGGUCUCCAUCCCCUGGCAGAUGGUGCCCCCUUGCCUUUUCUCCUAGUUCAAGCCCCGUGUUCCCCAGGCUGCCAUGCCACAUCUCUCAGCCUGUCUCCCGAGACUCCCCCCAGAUCCAGAAUAUAGCGCUGGAUGUCUGCCUGGAAUGGAGACAGGGAGACCUCCACGCUCCUAAAGGCGUCAGCAGGCUCACUCACCGCUAGGAGCUGUCCGUGGUGCUGGAUGUCACUGGUCCGCACGUCCACAGGGCAGAGAGAGGGCGGGAGGGUGGAGCACCCACCCGCCCAGCGGAGAAGCUGAAGGGAAGAAAAGCAGAAACAUUUGGAUACAGUAAGUGAAAAGGCCAUUUUAAAGGAAGUCUCCCUGCUACUGGAGGGGAGGAGAGCCUUGGAGUCAAUGAGUGCUGAACUUUCCACCCCUUCAUCCUAGAUCUUCAAGAGCCCUAGAUUGGCCCAGCUCUCCUCGGGAUCCUUUUGAAAAAUCCACAGGCACAAGCAAGGCUGAGUCAGUGCUUUUGCCCUUAGGCAAGAACAAGGCUGAGGCCAAAGACAGACCUUUAAAUCCCACUCUAGAUACUAAGGCCUCCACAAGCAAUUUAGUAAUAAAGAUGAACAAGUGAUCAA